UCCCCGAUGGCACAAUUGGCUAGCGCGUCAGACUGUUAAUCUGGAGGUUGGUGGUUCGAGCCCACCUCGGGGAGA
rnacentral:tRNA from 1 species